UACGUAGGGUGCAAGCGUUGUCCGGAAUUAUUGGGCGUAAAGAGCUCGUAGGCGGUCUGUUGCGUCGGCUGUGAAAACCCGGGGCUCAACCCCGGGCCUGCGGUGGGUACGGGCAGACUAGAGUGAUGUAGGGGAGACUGGAAUUCCUGGUGUAGCGGUGAAAUGCGCAGAUAUCAGGAGGAACACCGAUGGCGAAGGCAGGUCUCUGGGCAUUAACUGACGCUGAGGAGCGAAAGCAUGGGGAGCGAACAGG
rnacentral:rRNA from 1 species